rnacentral:rRNA from 1 species
UCAAGCGAAUAAGCGCACACGGUGGAUGCCUUGGCGGUCAGAGGCGAUGAAGGACGUGGCAGCCUGCGAAAAGUAUCGGGGAGCUGGCAACAAGCUUUGAUCCGGUAAUGUCCGAAUGGGGAAACCCACCCGCUUGCGGGUAUCCUGCAGUGAAUACAUAGCUGCUGGAAGCGAACCUGGUGAACUGAAAUAUCUAAGUAACCAGAGGAAAAGAAAUCAACCGAGAUUCCGUAAGUAGCGACGAGCGAACGCGGACUAGCCCUUAAGCUGAUUUGGUUCUAGGAAAACGCUCUGGAAAGAGCGGCCAUAGAAGGUGAUAGCCCUGUAUCUGAAAGGGCCAUUUCAGUGAAGACGAGUAGGGCGGGGCACGUGAAACCCUGUCUGAACAUGGGGGGACCAUCCUCCAAGGCUAAAUACUACUGACCGACCGAUAGUGAACCAGUACCGUGAGGGAAAGGCGAAAAGAACCCCGGAGAGGGGAGUGAAAUAGAACCUGAAACCGUGUGCGUACAAGCAGUAGGAGCUCCGCAAGGAGUGACUGCGUACCUUUUGUAUAAUGGGUCAGCGACUUACUGUUCGUGGCAAGCUUAACCGUAUAGGGGAGGCGAAGGGAAACCGAGUCUGAUAAGGGCGCAUAGUCGCGGGCAGUAGACCCGAAACCGGGUGAUCUAGUCAUGCCCAGGGUGAAGGUGCGGUAACACGCACUGGAGGCCCGAACCCACUCCCGUUGCAAAGGUAGGGGAUGAGGUGUGAUUAGGAGUGAAAAGCUAAUCGAACCCGGAGAUAGCUGGUUCUCCUCGAAAGCUAUUUAGGUAGCGCCUCAUAUGUAUCCUCUCGGGGGUAGAGCACUGUUAUGGCUAGGGGGUCAUCGCGACUUACCAAACCAUUGCAAACUCCGAAUACCGAGACGGACUGUAUGGGAGACACACGGCGGGUGCUAACGUCCGUCGUGAAAAGGGAAACAACCCAGACCCACAGCUAAGGUCCCAAAUUUUGUGCUAAGUGGAAAACCAUGUGGAAAGGCACAGACAGCCAGGAGGUUGGCUUAGAAGCAGCCACCCUUUAAAGAAAGCGUAAUAGCUCACUGGUCGAGUCGGUCUGCGGGGAAGAUUUAACGGGGCUAAGCACAGAACCGAAGCUUGGGGUGCAUAACUUUGUUAUGCGCGGUAGAGGAGCGUUCCGUAAGCCGUUGAAGGUGGAUUGAGAAGUCUGCUGGAGGUAUCGGAAGUGCGAAUGCUGACAUGAGUAACGAUAAUGCGGGUGAAAAACCCGCACGCCGAAAGCCCAAGGUUUCCUUGCGCAACGUUAAUCGGCGCAGGGUGAGUCGGCCCCUAAGGCGAGGACGAAAGUCGUAGUCGAUGGGAAGCAGGUUAAUAUUCCUGCACCUCGCGUAAGUGCGAUGGAGGGACGGAGAAGGUUAGGUGUACCAGGCGUUGGUUGUCCUGGGGAAAGGCGGUAGGUUUGGAUCUUUGGCAAAUCCGGGAUCCUUUAAGACCGAGCACCGAGACGAGCCUUUAUGGCGAAGUCACUGAUACCACGCUUCCAGGAAAAGCUCCUAAGCUUCAGCUUACGCAGACCGUACCGUAAACCGACACAGGUGGGUAGGAUGAGAAUUCUCAGGCGCUUGAGAGAACUCGGGUGAAGGAACUAGGCAACAUGGCACCGUAACUUCGGGAGAAGGUGCACCCUUUUUGGUGGCUCGUGCGAGCUAUAGCUGAAGAGGGUCGCAGUAACCAGGCCGCUGCGACUGUUUAUCAAAAACACAGCACUCUGCAAACACGAAAGUGGACGUAUAGGGUGUGACGCCUGCCCGGUGCUGGAAGGUUAAUUGAUGGGGUCAGCCGCAAGGCGAAGCUCUUGAUCGAAGCCCCAGUAAACGGCGGCCGUAACUAUAACGGUCCUAAGGUAGCGAAAUUCCUUGUCGGGUAAGUUCCGACCUGCACGAAUGGCGUAACGACAGCGGCGCUGUCUCCACCCGAGACUCAGUGAAAUUGAAAUCGCUGUGAAGAUGCAGCGUUCCCGUGGCAAGACGGAAAGACCCCGUGAACCUUUACUAUAGCUUUACACUGAACGUUGAGUUCGUCUGUGUAGGAUAGGUGGGAGGCUAUGAAACUGUGGCGCUAGCUGCAGUGGAGCCAUCCUUGAAAUACCACCCUGUCGUGCUUGACGUUCUAACCUGGGCCCAUUAUCUGGGUCGGGGACCGUGUAUGGUGGGUAGUUUGACUGGGGCGGUCUCCUCCUAAAGAGUAACGGAGGAGCUCGAAGGUACGCUCAGCGCGGUCGGACAUCGCGCACUGUGUGCAAAGGCAUAAGCGUGCUUGACUGCAAGAUCGACGGAUCAAGCAGGUAGGAAACUAGGACUUAGUGAUCCGGUGGUUCUGUAUGGAAGGGCCAUCGCUCAACGGAUAAAAGGUACUCCGGGGAUAACAGGCUGAUACCGCCCAAGAGUUCAUAUCGACGGCGGUGUUUGGCACCUCGAUGUCGGCUCAUCACAUCCUGGGGCUGUAGUCGGUCCCAAGGGUAUGGCUGUUCGCCAUUUAAAGUGGUACGCGAGCUGGGUUCAGAACGUCGUGAGACAGUUCGGUCCCUAUCUGCCAUGGGCGUUGGAGAUUUGAGAGGGGCUGCUCCUAGUACGAGAGGACCGGAGUGGACGAACCUCUGGUGUUCCGGUUGUCACGCCAGUGGCAUUGCCGGGUAGCUAUGUUCGGAAGCGAUAACCGCUGAAAGCAUCUAAGCGGGAAGCGCGCCUCAAGAUGAGAUCUCCCGGGGCACAAGCCCCCUGAAGGAACCAUGUAGACUACGUGGUUGAUAGGUCAGGUGUGUAAGUACAGCAAUGUAUUGAGCUAACUGAUACUAAUGAUCCGUGCGGCUUGACCAU